rnacentral:rRNA from 1 species
UCAAGUCCUCAUGGCCCUUAUGGGUAGGGCUUCACACGUCAUACAAUGGUACAUACAGAGGGCCGCCAACCCGCGAGGGGGAGCUAAUCCCAGAAAGUGUAUCGUAGUCCGGAUUGGAGUCUGCAACUCGACUCCAUGAAGUUGGAAUCGCUAGUAAUCGCGGAUCAGCAUGUCGCGGUGAAUACGUUCCCGGGUCUUGUACACACCGCCCGUCACACCAUGGGAGCGGGUUUUACCAGAAGUAGGUAGCUUAACCGCAAGGAGGGCGCUUACCACGGUAGGAUU